UAGGUCUCUGAUCAUAAAAUGUGUGGACUUCUUUGAAGUCACAUGGUUGUUUAUAAACUGAAGCUGAAAAACUGAAACUGAAAGCAGGUGGAUAACCUAUUAAAGCACAUUCUCCCUGUCAACAUUGCAGUGUCACGCUGUCCAGAGCCACAUAAGUAAAAGUUGGAAACUGACUGGCUGUUAAUAUAAGUGGAGCUACUGUUACAUUUUUCAAAUAUUAAUGCCAGUAAGUCAAAAUUAGAAGUUUUAAAAUAGGUCUCUGAUCAUAAAAUGUGUGGACUUCUUUGAAGUCACAUGGUUUUCUAUAAACUGAAAAACUGAAACUGAAAGCAGGAGGAUAACCUAUUAAAGUACAGUCUCCCCGUCAACAUUGCAGUGUCACGCUGUCCAGAGCCACAUAAGUAAAGCUAUGGGAGGAGCAACUUUUAGUAAGCCAUGGAGGACUAUGCCGCAUACACAACUUACAAAAUCCAGAAAGACCCAGCAAGGUUUUAUUCUUUCAUUUUCAAUGACAUCAUGGGCUUUGAGCAAAACACCAACAGUGGAGUUUGUGUGGAAGACGUGAAAUUGGCCCUGAGUGGACAUGUGACAGAAGGUUACCAGUGUGAAACCAUUGGCAGGAAUGUGUAUCGCAUCACCCGUGUACACGAGACAAACAACCCACUCAUAGAGAAACUGCUCCAUAGCUCUACUAGAGAUCAAAAACUCCACAGGUUCACUCCUGAACACCAACUGACCGAGAGUGAUCAAGGCUACAACUCAUCUCCCACUCUGGAAGACAGUGUUCACGUUCUGGUUUGUGUCGUUCCUGUCGGCACAGUAUCUUUAUUAAGUGACGAAGUUGUGAAUGUUAACGAAGCGUCGUGGGUGAGUCCGUGGAGUAUGAGCGGCUGGAGUAGAAGCUCUGUCCUUCAUACUAACGAGACCGGACACUGACUGAGGUGAAGAGUGGGAAUUUAUGGAGGAGUAGAGUGGCUGAUUGCGUUCAGGUGUGUUAUGGGUAACAGGUGCUGGGGAUUAGUAUUCAGGUGAGGGGGUGCGGUGUGGCUGAGGUGUGGUGGAGCCUGGCGUGUCUGUGACAGUGAAGAAGAUGAGAGAAGUCAGACCAUGUCAGCCAGUGACAUGGGUAAGAGCUGACAUCACUAUAGUUAUUACUCUGUGUGCACUAAUGGUGCCAUGUUGGGUUUUAUGAAUCAAAAUACCAGCAGAGCAAAUGCUUAAAAUACUGAUUAGGUUUCUGUAUCGGCAGGGAUUCCUCAAAUGGCUAUUCUCACCAAAGUUGAUGAAGCCUGUCCUGAGGUCAAAAAAGAUAUAAACAAUGUCUAUAAAAGCAUGUACCUGAAGCAACAGGUUAGUGUCUGAUGGUGAUUCUUUUAAAGCGUUUUUAGAUUUGUAAUCUUGGAAUGUAAUUUAAGUUAAGUUCAGUAUUUCAGCAUGAAAAUCUCUUUUGGUCACAACUUUGCAAUUACUGAUCAUCUGAAAUGCUGUUAUUUUAAAACUUAGGUCGAUUUAAUUCAGCAUGUUGCUGGGUAUUCCACCAAACUGCAUCUUUCUUGUGAAGAACUACGAAUCUGAAAUCAACACGAAUGAUGCCAUUGAUACGCUGACACUGAUCGCACUGAGACAGAUGAUUAACUUUGGAGAAGACUUCCUCAACUACCUGUAGACCUACAUACCACUGAAACAAAACUUGCAUGAUCAAGACUUGAAAAAACAAUAAUCUGCAUGAUUUUAUUAGUUGAAGAGGUCAGACAACACCGAACAGACAUCAACAACUACCACUGGACACGCUUUGAAUCAUUACUUGAGGUAAACCAUCACUCAACAGCUGAGGUAAGAAUUUCUUAUGAUAUUUAUACUGAUAAAUGUGGUUUUACAGUUUGCUAUUAAGAAGUAAAAUGUGCGUUUUUAGAAUUAAGUAAGACACACAGAUCUUUUACCUACAGUACCUCCUCUUUUCUGCUCAUUUUUGAAACCAUUAUUUUAAUUAUUUCUUAGUUUAUAUUUUCUCUAAAAUUUUAAUAAAGUAUUUGUGUGCACAUCAUAAUAAUGUAUCUUGUUAUCGCUAA